UACGUAGGUGACCAGCGUUGUCCGGAUUUACUGGGCGUAAAGAGCGCGCAGGCGGUCGUUCAAGUCGGGUGUGAAAGCCCCCGGCUCAACUGGGGAGGGUCAUUCGAUACUGAUCGACUGGAAGGCAGGAGAGGGAAGCGGAAUUCCCGGUGUAGUGGUGAAAUGCGUAGAUAUCGGGAGGAACACCAGUGGCGAAGGCGGCUUCCUGGCCUGUUCUUGACGCUGAGGCGCGAAAGCUAGGGGAGCAAACGGG
rnacentral:rRNA from 1 species